rnacentral:rRNA from 1 species
GAUAAACGCUGGCGGCGUGCCUAAAACAUACAAGUCGAACGGGCCAUGCCUUCGGGUGUGGCCAGUGGCGGACGGCUGAGUAACACGUGGGUGACCUGCCCUCGAGCGGGGGAUAACUGCCCGAAAGGGUGGCUAAUACCGCAGAUGUCGAUGCUUCGAUGUGUCGACUGAACCGAUUCAGGGUUCGAGGGAGGGGCCCGCGGCCGAUUAGCUUGCUGGUGGGGUAAUGGCCUACCAGGGCUGCGAUCGGUAGCUGGUCUGAGAGGAUGAUCAGCCAGACUGGGACUGCGAGACGG